AGAUCAUUUAAAGAGUGCUCAUGUGGCUGUGAAGCCAAGAGCUCUUGAUGCUGAGACAUGAUUGGGAUUCUUUACAGAAAGUCACUGUCUUCUGUGUUUCUCUUUCAUGAAGAAAUA
ensembl:snoRNA Gm22088 predicted gene, 22088